GACGAACGCUGGCGGCGUGCCUAAUACAUGCAAGUCGAGCGAAGUUUUUCUGGUGCUUGCACUAGAAAAACUUAGCGGCGAACGGGUGAGUAACACGUAAAGAACCUGCCUCAUAGACUGGGACAACUAUUGGAAACGAUAGCUAAUACCGGAUAACAGUAUUUCUCGCAUGAGAGAUAUUUAAAAGUUUGUUAUGCUAACACUAUGAGAUGGCUUUGCGGUGCAUUAGCUAGUUGGUGGGGUAAAGGCCCACCAAGGCGACGAUGCAUAGCCGACCUGAGAGGGUGAUCGGCCACACUGGGACUGAGACACGGCCCAGACUCCUACGGGAGGCAGCAGUAGGGAAUCUUCCGCAAUGGGCGAAAGCCUGACGGAGCAACGCCGCGUGAGUGAAGAAGGAUUUCGGUUCGUAAAGCUCUGUUGUUAGGGAAGAAUGGAUAUGUAGUAACUAUACAUGUAAGAGACGGUACCUAAUCAGAAAGCCACGGCUAACUACGUG
rnacentral:rRNA from 1 species